rnacentral:lncRNA from 1 species
CAUUGACCAUAUGAAAUAAUAAAACCUUGUUAACGUUGUAGUUCCUUUCUAUAGUACAUAAUCAAUAGCCUAAUAAUUCGCUACAUAAAUCCACAAGGACUGAAAUAGUUCGGUUAUAUCCAAAGAAUUAAUGAAGAAUUCAUGAAGUAAGUAUUAAAAGUGAAACCAACAAUUCGAGACCAAGAGGAAUAUUAAAAUGCUGAUGCGAAGACCAGGUCAGGUAUUUUAAUAAAAUGAUAACCAUUCUAAACUGAACUCGAAGAACUAUAUCCAGAUGCCAACAUAAUAAAAGAAAUAUAGUCCAAAAGACUCAAAUGGGCAGGACACCUCAGAAGACAUUCUGACGAAAGUGCAGUAAGGCUGGUAUGGAAGGAAGUCCCAAAUGAAAGAAUGUUACGACGAAAUUCACCCUGUAGGAAUAAUGGAAAAUAGAAUUCGACAAGAUGUUGAUAUGUCAUAUAAGGGGAUGUAAACGUGUUACACAAUUUGAAGAACAUGUCCUCGGUUGCUAAGUAACGGAAGAGGUAUGGGGGUGGUUCUUAACGGGAUGUUAUUAAUAUGAUCUUAUUAGCUUAGAAAUAAAAAAUUGAAAAAUCAAAUAAUAAUAUCAAAUAAAAAGAAAUAAAAUAUUGGGCGCCAUUGGUUUCCUUGUGGGAAUCAUAAAUAUACAAAAAUAGAAACGUAAAAGAAAAGAUAGCUAAAUCAAAAAUUAAACAAAAACCUAGUCAAUACAAAAUAUAUAAAAUACUUAUGCCGUGACUUACCUUAUCUAUCUCUUUACUCAGAAAAUUCUCUGUUGUACUUACGAAACAAGAGAAAAUGAAAAGACAAUAAUAAAAGAAGGUAUUUUGCAAUGAACCAAACUUUUUUAUUGAAACAAAAUAAAAUAAAAUUAAAAGGAUCUGUGAUCUCUUGCGAUUUUACAUAAAGAGGGCAUGUUUACCAAAAAGAAAGUGAAAAGUUUACAAAAACAAUACCUUGUACUAGUCCUGUAUCUUCUCUUGGUUGGUUUUAAGUCCAAGGCACAGUUUACUUCACUAAAUGUCACUUUACAAAGAAAUAGAUACAUUAAGAGUACAUCAAUGGUUGGUUGUUUCCAUAGUUUAUAGAGAAAUUCAGCAUUUACUUCUUAAAACAAAUCGGCACUACUCGAACAAAAAUAUUGAAGAACUCAUUAGUCCUUUCGUAUAUUAAACGAUGGGAUCAAAAAAAUAUAAAAACAACUCCAUGCUUUAGCUAUGAUGUCAGAAACUACUAACGCAAAAAAACUUCUAACUCCUGCCUGCAUAUAAGAAAAAUUAUACCAAUAGUGGUAUGAUAAUAUCGAUUCCGCCUAACAGUAGCGAAAAUGCCGGAGUACACGUUAUAUGCCGGGCUGAGCUAAGCUAUAAGCAUUGGCCAGCCGGCCGAAGAAACUCAAAUUCAACUACAUCUUAAUCUUCAACGGCUCAAACUAGACUUCUCUACAGCUCAAACGUAAGUGAAUUUUUGAUCUCCCAAACUCAAUCUUCAGAAACCAAACGCCCCUUUCAAAAUAAUUUGAUUUCCCCAUCAAUAAUCCUCACAACCAAUUACAGACUUAAGGCACUCAAUCAAAAUCUUAACCAAUAGGAGAAUGCAAAAUACGCUCUGGGUUAAACCUUCUGACGCACACCAAAACAGCUCGUCCAAUCACCAAAAGAAUAAACAAAACGGACCCCAGCAGAUACUACCACCCACUCUUCCCAUGAAAAGCACUGAUUUAGCUGUCUUCAAAACUAAGGCCCGUUCUCAGACGAAUCAGCAAAGAAACACUUGGACUCGUUGGUAACACUUAGAACCACUUAUCUCUAUAAGAUAAACAUAACAGCGACAUCCUGACGACCUGAACGAUUUUCGCUUGAAAUACAAACCGCGUUUCCUUUGAUAAAAAAACCGACAAUCUAUUUCACGAGAGAAUAACGGCUAAAAAAACAUGACACUUCCAAAACCUGCGUUUUCCGGAAUGAGAACUUAAAAAUAUUGAUGUGAAUCGAGAACGAAUUACGUAAUACCAUAGAUUUGUGAGAACCCGACAAAUCUCUGAAACACAAGCAUGGUUUUAACGAACUGAAAAUACAGGGUGUAGCGAAAUUGUCAGUGAUUCGAAAAUACUAGUGACCUUCGCACCGUUAGAAGAAGACCACUUGGACGCCCUCGACUCCGGUGGCGAGAUAAUAUAGCGGGAGGCCUUAAAGCUAUGGACGUGGAGAACUGAACGGAGAUUGCUCAAUGCAGAGAGAAAUGGAGACAUGUUGUUGAGUCGGCUAAAACCCACGAAGGCUUGUAGUGCCACAGAGUAAGUAAGUAAAAUUCCAAACUGGAGGCAAAAGAUAGAAAACCGAAUGGAAUGGAAUUCAAGUAGAUUGCAAUUUCAUACAGCCAGUGAUAUAGAAGAGCGUAAAAUAGAUCAAAUGUCGAUUAAUCCUUCGUGGAAAUCGGAUUAGAAGAUCCUAUAUAUAAAUAAAUAUAAUCUAUAAUAAUACAAUCUUGCCAAAAAGGUUGCUGUACCUGUGUUGUAUGUAAGGCAGUCUAUGAGCACAACAGCAUGUGUUAUUUGUAGUGGAAUUAGUAAACACUUGCAUGUUAUCGGCGAUUUCAAGCUUGUUAGCUAUCGUCGGACAUGCGCAAGUAUAUACAAAUUGAAAUCCAGCAACCGGCAAUGCCUAUUUGCAUAUAUUCGUAUAUAAGUGGUAGCAUACCAAUGGUGCCAUCAACUUUGACGACCACGAAUGAAAAAAAGUAUUAAUUAUUGUUUCUCUCAUAGCUUGUUGAUUGAAAGCAAUGAAAGUUUUUAAAAAUUUUAGUUCGUUAGUUGACUAUUGAACUAAGAGACAUUCUAAAACCUGCCAUUAAAAUUGCAAUAGCAUAUUGUAACUGUAUAUAAAUUGGUGUUUAUCUGAGUAAAAUAAAUUAAUGUUAACAUCUUUUGCAAAUUUGUUUAAAUGUAUGAUAAAAUUUUAAAACAUUUGUUAAUUGCUUCCUUUUAAAUCGUUACCUAAACUCUUGUUAGUGUACAAAACAAAUCGAAGUAUACCGCUAAGACGGCAUACUUAUUUUUUGGGCAUUUAAUGAAUUUUCAGAUCACCAUUUUUCCAGUGGAUGAAAUGGUUAUAUUUAUAUUACCCGAUUCGGGAUGUAAUUACUUUUGUAAAAAUGUUCACUAAAAGAAAAUUCUACUGAUAUCUAACUCCAGCCUACAAACAGUAUUUAGCUACUUGCAAAGAUUAUUAAUUAUUAAAAGAUUUAUUGGGAGGAUCAUACAAGAGUAUUUGUGCAAAGUACUAAAUUUCAAAAAGGUACCACAAAAUUUUUUUGAAUAAAAUUUUAAAUAUUAAAAUUGGACGCGUUUCAGCCCAACACGACCCAUCAUCAGCAAAUACAGGAAAAAACACCAAAGAACUAACCUACAAUAUUAUAUUAUAAUAAAAUUAGAUAUGAAAAACCCCAAAACAUCUAAGGACAACGCCCACCUCAAUCAAGAAACUUACCCAAUAGGAAGGAUGAAGAAUCGAUUGGCUAAAAAAACAAAUUGUACAUACACAAACAUUUUAUAUAUUACGCUUUAAACGAUUUAUAUCGUGUUUUCUGAUAAAUGGUUUAGUGUGGAAGAAUUUCAGAAACGUGUUCAUCUUCAUCGGAAGAAGCCAUCUUGCGAACAAUUCAGGUGUAAGCCAGUGAAGUGUCAAAUUACUGUCAAUGAUGACAUAGAGUGGUAUUGAUGGUGGUAAACUUUGUAACUAGGUAAUACAGACUGUGGAAAAGAAAAAAAGAAGAUAUUAAAAGUAAUAAAAUUACGGGAACUGAACCAAAGUAUUGCAUCAGAUACUACUUGUCAAUACGUUUCAAACUCAUGUUUAGUGAUCAAAAUCGGUUAAGCUGUUUAGAAUUUAUCGAGCUCAAAAAGUAUAAUCCAUUUAACCAUUAUCGCCGAAAUGGUUUAUGUAGUUGUAGUGGUUACGACGCUAAAUUUGAUCGGGCACUCCCGGCAUGCCGGCCAUCUCAAUAUUUUCUUUUCAAUCUAUUUCGAAUAGAAAAAAAUCUAGUGUACAUUCGAUGGACACAAAGAAUUGAAAUAUUGAAAAAAAAAGUAUUAGGAUCGCAGGGAUAUGAACUCGGAUUGUCCUAUCACAAGUUUAGUGUCGUAACCAAUAGAUCAUUUGGGAGCUAAUACGACAAAGGCGACCAUUUAUAACGCUUAACGUGUAAUCGAGAAACAUUAAAUUCAGCUUGAUACAUUUAAUUUAUAAAAAAACUUUGAAAAACUCCUGAUACAAGAAUAAAAAAUCGCUAAACGCCAUAAAAAUGAGUGGCACACACAAUAUUCCAGCUACAAAAAAGCUGAUAUGAAUAUUACGUGGCGCGAAAAUGUAUUUUCAUUUUGAUGGAAAAUAAAAUUCUAGUUUCAUUUUGGAAAAUUUUUCCAUAAUUUUUGCUAAACUUGAAGUAAAACGCGCCACAAAAGAUCUUUAAAAUGCAAACUGUAUCAAACCCAGGCAACCAAAUAACGUUUACAAAACGUCAUGAUGAUCACCAAACCCGUCAGUUUAUCACGUUUUUUCGACGUCGAAAGUCAAGUGAAUUUGUCAUACCAUAAUUGACGUCAUUUUAAUCACCUUUUAAAUACGUGAUAUCAAAAACGUAGUUUUUAUGUCGUUUUUUAGAUUAUUUUUCAUUUUAUGUUUUUAAAUAUACACAAAUAAUUAUUCGUAUGGACAUUGUUGGUGUUGCAAUUUUUCAUUUACCUAACCGUUUUAAAUUUAGCCCAUAGGCUUAAAGUAAAAUCAAAUGGAAGACUCUCUCAAAUGUAUAGAAUUACAAUACCCUCAAUGCAACAUACCUAUAUAGAAUUUUCACUUUUUAUAUAUGCUUACUGUGUCAAAAUUGAAACAACAUAUAAACUAAUAAAUAAUUUAUUAACAAAUUAAUUUAACUAAACUCGAUAACAAACAAUAAUUAGUUCAUUAACAGAAAAUAAACAACAAAACAUAUUAAUCCAUAACCUCAAACAAUUUUCAAGAAGAAUUAUUGCAUUAAACUAACUCACUUGAAAAAAAAAA